UGGACCUGUUUAGAUAUUAUGCACACUUCAAUUUGUGUUUAUUUAUUGCAAGUCACAUCAGCAUUGCAUGAUGGCAACAUUAAACAACAUUAUCGCACAUAGCAGAUUUUCCGCAUAUCGUGUAGGCCUAAUCUGUACCAGUGGUUAAGUGCUUUAACAUCUCUCCUUGCUGCAGUGAUGUAGAAGAGUGCUCCGGGGUUUGUCAGGACGGCGUGACAUCACUGCUGGGUGUGGUCAGAGGUGAAACAGGCUCGAAACUUUCAAUCAGAGAGGGCAGUGAAACACUUUUUCGCCUGGUGUUAAUGUCUUAAAUGGGUCAGAUUUCACCGAUCAGAGCAACUUUUUGGCCAAACAAAUGAAAAAGAUAAUCUUGUAACCACCAUGCCGCUCACAGGUAAACUGAGCAUGGAGCCUACUUCACAAGAUGGCGCCCUCAUCCCAACAUGCAACAUGGCGUGACGUGCCUUCACAAUACCUAUACAUGCUGUCACAACAUCUCCU